rnacentral:rRNA from 1 species
AGGGAAGGAGGGGGGUAGGCCUAACACAUGCAAGUCGAACGGCAGCACAGUAAGAGCUUGCUCUUACGGGUGGCGAGUGGCGGACGGGUGAGGAAUACAUCGGAAUCUACUUUUUCGUGGGGGAUAACGUAGGGAAACUUACGCUAAUACCGCAUACGACCUACGGGUGAAAGCAGGGGAUCUUCGGACCUUGCGCGAUUGAAUGAGCCGAUGUCGGAUUAGCUAGUUGGCGGGGUAAAGGCCCACCAAGGCGACGAUCCGUAGCUGGUCUGAGAGGAUGAUCAGCCACACUGGAACUGAGACACGGUCCAGACUCCUACGGGAGGCAGCAGUGGGGAAUAUUGGACAAUGGGCGCAAGCCUGAUCCAGCCAUACCGCGUGGGUGAAGAAGGCCUUCGGGUUGUAAAGCCCUUUUGUUGGGAAAGAAAAGCAGCAGGUUAAUACCCCGCUGUUCUGACGGUACCCAAAGAAUAAGCACCGGCUAACUUCGUG